GGAGAGGUAAGCCUAAUGGUAAGGCAGCGGUUUGCUAAACCGUCAGUAGCCCGCAAGGGUGCGGGAGUUCGAGUCUCCCUCUCUCCGCCA
rnacentral:tRNA from 1 species